rnacentral:rRNA from 1 species
UACGGAGGGUGCGAGCGUUGCUCGGAAUUACUGGGCGUAAAGAGCACGUAGGCGGUUUGGUAAGUCUGAUGCGAAAGCCCAUGACUCAAUCAUGGAAGUGCAUUGGAUACUGCUAGACUUGAGUGCAGGAGGGGUGAGCGGAAGUCCAGGUGUAGAGGUGAAAUUCGUAGAUAUCUGGAGGAACAACGGUGGCGAAGGCGGCUCACUGGACUGUAACUGACGCUGAGGUGCGAAAGUGUGGGGAGCAAACAGG